rnacentral:rRNA from 1 species
UACGGAGGGUGCAAGCGUUAAUCGGAAUUACUGGGCGUAAAGCGCGCGUAGGCGGUUAGUUAAGUCAGAUGUGAAAUCCCCGGGCUCAACCUGGGAAUGGCCUCUGAUACUGGCUGGCUAGAGUUUGGAAGAGGGAAGUAGAAUUUCAGGUGUAGCGGUGAAAUGCAUAGAGAUCUGAAGGAAUACCAGUGGCGAAGGCGACUUCCUGGUCCAGAACUGACGCUGAGGUGCGAAAGCGUGGGUAGCAAACGGG